rnacentral:rRNA from 5 species
ACUUAAAUUGAAGAGUUUGAUCAUGGCUCAGAUUGAACGCUGGCGGCAGGCCUAACACAUGCAAGUCGAGCGGCAGCGGGAAAGUAGCUUGCUACUUUUGCCGG